rnacentral:rRNA from 1 species
GAUGAACGCUGGCGGCGUGCCUAAUACAUGCAAGUCGAGCGGCAGCACGGUCUUCGGACUGGUGGCGAGCGGCGGACGGCUGAGUAACGCGUAGGAAUAUACCCAAAGUGAGGGAUAACUGCCCGAAAGGGUGGCUAAUACCGCAUGUGGUCUUCGGACUAAAGCCUUCGGGCGCUUUGGGAAUAGCCUGCGUAAGAUUAGCUAGUUGGUGAGGUAAUGGCUCACCAAGGCGACAGUCUUUAGCUGGUCUGAGAGGAUGACCAGCCAGACUGGAACUGAGACACGGUCCAGACUCCUGCGGGAGGCAGCAGUAGGGAAUUUUCCACAAUGGGCGAAAGCCUGAUGGAGCAACGCCGCGUGCAGGAUGAAGGCCCUCGGGUCGUAAACUGCUUUUAUGUGCGAAGAAUAUGACGGUAACACAUGAAUAAGGGUCGGCUAACUACGUGCCAGCAGCCGCGGUAAU